UGGGGGAUUUUGCACAAUGGGCGCUAGCCUGAUGCAGCGACGCCGCGUGAGGGAUGAAGGCCUUCGGGUUGUAAACCUCUUUCGCUGGGUUGAAAGGCCAUGCUUUGGGUGUGGUUGAUUUGAACUGGUAAAGAAGUACCGGCUAACUACGUGCCAGCAGCCGCGGUAAUACGUAGGGUACUAGCGUUGUCCGGAUUUAUUGGGCGUAAAGGGCUUGUAGGUGGUUUGUCGCGUCUGUCGUGAAAUCCUGUGGCUUAACCAUGGGCUUGCGGUGGGUACGGGCAGGCUUGAGUGCGGUAGGGGAGACUGGAAUUCCUGGUGUAGCGGUGGAAUGCGCAGAUAUCAGGAGGAACACCGGUGGCGAAGGCGGGUCUCUGGGCCGUUACUGACACUGAGGAGCGAAAGCGUGGGGAGCGAACAGG
rnacentral:rRNA from 1 species